rnacentral:tRNA from 3 species
GUUUUAAUAGUUUAAUAUAAAACAAUGAUCUUGUAAAUCAUAAAUAGGGUAACCUUUAAAACA